UGUAGCACAGUGUGAGUUUAAUACCUAAAUUACACCUGUUCUCUUGUUCCAAGGUCACAAGUGCUGUGCUUAUGAACCAACUCUGUAUAUAACAAGCUAGAGUCUUCUAGAAACCUCAUAGCCUUUUUUUUAAAUCAAAUUUGUAAACUCAAUUAUCGGUAGUGUAUUUGAGUAGUUUAGUUUAGAGAUUACGUUCGGUGUUUGUAAAUGAAUAUAUUCGUGUAUUGUUUUUAGUGACGGUAAAAAGUAGUGACGUAGUCAGACAGACGAAUGUCGUACACGGAGAAGUAGAUGGCUAGAGAUAAGAGAAGGUUGAAUAGUGCAAGAGACGAAUAAGAAGGAUAGGGAGACGAGACCAGCAUCCAAAUUUCUUUCAACUUGGUUACUAUUGCGUAUACGUUAAAACUGGUCUCUUCUCCAUCGCUUGGUGUUUCUAUUUGGGUGUGCGGCCAUUUUGUUACUACCCUGUUGCCAGGGACUUGGGUUUUAGACACAGUUGCUAGAGUCUAGCUUGUUCUGGGUUGAGCUACCCAGUGUCGACCCACUGUGGACCCGAUGUUGAUCUCUUCAUGUCGAUGGAGAUUUACUGUUUGAGCUUGGAUGUGCCAUGUUUGGUUGUGGGCAGUGUCGGCCCGUGUGGUGGCAACAGCAGUUGUAUCCAAGACCUUGGAAUCUAUUGCAGAUAAUAUAGAGGUCAUCUGUUUGUAUGGCGGAGGUUAACUAUGGUGUCUCGUGGCCAGCACCACAACUAACCGCUUUUACAUUUCCCAACUUCAGCAAGAUUCAACAAGAUUCAAACCCGAGAUCCCUCGGAUAGAAAGUAAAGUAGUCAACAACACACCUCCAAAGUCAAGAGACCUAGAUGAAAAUCGCCAAUGAAGAAGAAAACUUUUUUUUUUGUAGGAUUGGAUUUAAUAUUUGUUGGUAACUUGCUUUAAUUUUCUUUUAAACUUCUUUACUACAAUCAGGUACACUGUAUGCAUUUAAAGUCUGAUUUUUAUAGCGAAAAUCUAUUCUAUAGAUUUUAAUGCUCCGUAUCCUUAUAACAUUAAAUUUAAAUAAUGUAUUCAAUAUGGCGUCAAAGGAAAAAAAUUCCACUACGUCACGCAGCCUAGUUAGGCUAACGUAAUAUCUAUUUCAACACCAGAGAGUUUACCAGAUUCCUUAGAUUUUAAUGCUCCGAGUUCUUAGAACAUUUGAUUUCAAUAAGUUAAUAAGUUGCGGACAUGUUUACUAUUAUUAUAGCUUUAAUAUAGCGCUACUUUCAUGCUCAGAGCGCUUUUGGACCAGUGGGGGAAUGGGUAUCUAAGGGUUAGGUGUCGAGCCAAGCCAAGUCAAGAUCAAGCGCACUUGGCCUCUCGACCACGCUUCCCACUGUGCUUUUUAUCAUCAUUACCUUUAUUUUCAACACCUCUUUCACCUUAUGUUAAAAGUGUUGCUCCUCCAGUGCUUGUUUAUAUUUUAUAUGUGUAUAAAAUAUCUCCAAAGACAAACAUAUGGUAUUCUACAUUGCGUAUUUCUCUGCCUGCAGCAUUUGCAACUUGUCCAGCUGUGUUUGCCCAUUUUGUCAACAUCUUGCCAGAAAUCUCUUUUAUGGAACGUUCAUGUUUCGAACAUUUAUAACGGCAGCCGUUGCGGCUUUAGCUACUCUAGGAGCCCAUUUUGCAACUCUUUCCCAGAAAUUUCUUUUAUUCAAAGCCAGUGAAAAGUCUUUGGUUCUAAUAUCUCUACCGUUAGCAGUUGUCUUGAUAUUUGAAGCAAGCUAGUUGAGCCAUUUUGCAACUUUUUCCCAAAAGUCUCUUUUCUAAAAGAAAAUCUUAAAAAAAACGUCAAUUCUCAAUGGGUUACGUAAAUAUAUAAUAGUGAUGUCGAAAUUACGGCACGCUGACCUUAUUUGGGACCUGACGUUAUUCUCUACUGCUCUUAAAAAAAAGCUUCUACUUCAGAAACUAUUGUAUCUGCAGAUAGUUCGUUUUAAUGGAUUAUACGGUCUUAUGCGAUGCUGAUUUGUAUACAAUAAGCAACAGCUUAAAAACAAGAAAAAUAUUUUAAAAACAUACUUUAAAGAA